rnacentral:rRNA from 1 species
GCAGACGUCGCGACCUGUUCGCGGUCGGUCCCUGCUCGGAGGAGCCGCGUUCGAGUUUGUUGUGUGCGCGUUUCUGCGCGUUACACGGCGAAGGCGUGGAUCUCUGGCUGGCCGACGGACAGUACGUUCAACGGUGUCCGAUGUCGUCGUCUCGUACGCGCGCGCAUCGGUACCGGUCAGCGACGAUUUCUUCGGGCCUCUUUCCGACCCGUCUUGAAACACGGACCAAGGAGUCUAACAUGCGCGCGAGUCGCGGGGUGUCGAGCGUACUACGGUGCGCUCGUUACGUCACGAAACCCGUACAUGUCGAAGGCGUAAUGAAAGUAAAUGGGGAAGAUGGUGUUCCGAGUACACGUUCCGCGGUCAUUGGUACCGCGGCCGGACACCCGCAUUCCCGGGGCGUCUCAACGGCCCGUCGCGGAUGCGGAUAGUCGUCUUUCGGGGCGGCUGUCGGUCUGCGACGAACCGAGGCGCACCUAUAGCGUGCACGUUGGUACCCGAAAGAUGGUGAACUAUGCCUGGCCAGGAUGAAGUCAGGGGAAACCCUGAUGGAGGUCCGCAGCGAUUCUGACGUGCAAAUCGAUCGUCUGAGCU